AUUGAACGCUGGCGGCAUGCCUUACACAUGCAAGUCGAACGGCAGCGCGGGGCAACCUGGCGGCGAGUGGCGAACGGGUGAGUAAUAUAUCGGAACGUACCCUGGAGUGGGGGAUAACGUAGCGAAAGUUACGCUAAUACCGCAUACGAUCUAAGGAUGAAAGCAGGGGACCGCAAGGCCUUGUGCUCCUGGAGCGGCCGAUAUCUGAUUAGCUAGUUGGUGGGGUAAAGGCCUACCAAGGCAUCGAUCAGUAGCUGGUCUGAGAGGACGACCAGCCACACUGGAACUGAGACACGGUCCAGACUCCUACGGGAGGCAGCAGUGGGGAAUUUUGGACAAUGGGCGCAAGCCUGAUCCAGCAAUGCCGCGUGAGUGAAGAAGGCCU
rnacentral:rRNA from 1 species